rnacentral:rRNA from 1 species
GAUGAACGCUAGCGGCGUGCCUAACACAUGCAAGUCGAACGUGAAGCGGUUAUUUGUGCCAUCGUGUACAGAUGGCCGUGGAAAGUGGCGGACGGGUGAGUAACACGUAGAUAACCUGCCUCAAAGAAGGGGACAACCAUUGGAAACGAUGGCUAAUACCGUAUGGUCUUGGAUAGAUGGGAAUUGUUCAAGUAAAGCUUCGGCGCUUUGAGAGGGGUCUGCGGCUGAUUAGCUGGUUGGUGGGGUAAAAGCCCACCAAGGCGAUAAUCAGUAGCUGGUCUGAGAGGACGAUCAGCCACACGGGAACUGAGACACGGUCCCGACUCCUACGGGGGGCAGCAGUGAGGAAUAUUCGUCAAUGGGGGAAACCCUGAACGAGCAACGCCGCGUGGAGGAAGACGGUCUUUGGAUUGUAAACUCCUUUUCUGUGGGAAGAGAAAGGACGGUACCACAGGAAUAAGUCACGGCUAACUACG